UACGAAGGGGGCUAGCGUUGUUCGGAAUCACUGGGCGUAAAGCGCACGUAGGCGGGCGUGUCAGUCAGGGGUGAAAUCCCGGAGCUCAACUCCGGAACUGCCUCUGAUACAGCACGUCUUGAGUUCGAGAGAGGUGGGUGGAAUUCCUAGUGUAGAGGUGAAAUUCGUAGAUAUUAGGAAGAACACCGGUGGCGAAGGCGGCCCACUGGCUCGAUACUGACGCUGAGGUGCGAAAGCGUGGGGAGCAAACAGG
rnacentral:rRNA from 1 species